rnacentral:rRNA from 1 species
CGAAUGUGACCGCGUACUUUUUGUAGAACGGGCCAACGAGUUGCGAUUGGUAGCAAGGUUAAGUUCUUCAGGAACGGAGCCGUAGCGAAAGCGAGUCUUAAUAGGGCGAAUCAGUUACCGGUUGCAGACCCGAAACCGUGCGAUCUACCCAUGGCCAGGUUGAAGCGAGAGUAAAAUCUCGUGGAGGACCGAACCAGGUGACGUUGAAAAGUCAUUGGAUGAGCUGUGGGUAGGGGAGAAAUUCCAAUCGAGCACGGAAAUAGCUGGUUCUCGCCGAAAUAGCUUUAGGGCUAGCCUUGGGAAGAGACGACAGGAGGUAGAGCACUGAAUGGUCUAGGGGCCUUCACCGGUUACCAACACCUAUCAAACUCCGAAUGCCAGUCGUUAUACCCAGGAGUCAGACUGCGAGUGAUAAGAUCCGUAGUCGAGAGGGAAACAGCCCAGACCAACAACUAAGGUCCCAAAGUGUAUGUUAAGUGGAAAAGGAUGUGAGAUUGCAAAGACAACCAGGAUGUUGGCUUAGAAGCAGCCAUACAUUUAAAGAGUGCGUAAUAGCUCACUGGUCCAGGGAUCUUGCGCCGAAAAUAACCGGGGCUAAAACAUACCACCGAAGUUUUGGAUGUAGAAAUACAUGGUAGGCGAGCAAUGCGUGCCGGACGAAGUCAGAUUGUGAAGUCUGGUGGACGGCACACAAGAGAGAAUGUUGGCAUGAGUAACGAGAGGCAGGUGAGAAACCUGCCCGUCGAAAACCCAAGGGUUCCUGAGGAAGGCUCGUCCGCUCAGGGUAAGUCGGGACCUAAGCCGAGGCCGAAAGGCGUAGGCGAUGGAUAACAGGUGGAGAUUCCUGUACCACCGAGAUUCGCAUGAGAGAAGUGGGGACACAGGAGGAUAGACCGAGCGCGCCGUUGGUCGAGCGCGUCCAAGCUGGUAGGGAGAACAGGUAGGCAAAUCCGCCAGUUCAGUAAUCCUGAGAAGUGAUGGGGAGCGAAAAACAAGUAGCGAAGCGGUUGAAUCCACACUGUCAAGAAAAGCCACUAUCGAGAAUCAAGGUGCCCGUACCGCAAACCGACACAGGUGGGUGAGGAGAGAAUCCUAAGACGAACGGGAGAACUAUUGUUAAGGAACUCGGCAAAAUGACCCCGUAACUUCGGGAGAAGGGGUGCCGAGCGAGGUGAAUAAAGAACAUUAGGAGCCUUGCUCGGCCGCAGUGAAUAGGCCCAAGCGACUGUUUAGCAAAAACACAGGUCUCUGCAAAGUCGAAAGACGAAGUAUAGGGGCUGACGCCUGCCCGGUGCUGGAAGGUUAAGGGGAAGAGUUAGGGUAACCGAAGCUUGGAACUUAAGCCCCAGUAAACGGCGGCCGUAACUAUAACGGUCCUAAGGUAGCGAAAUUCCUUGUCGGGUAAGUUCCGACCCGCACGAAAGGCGUAACGAUUUGGGCACUGUCUCAACAAUAGACCCGGUGAAAUUGUAAUACCAGUGAAGAUGCUGGUUACCUGCGACAGGACGGAAAGACCCCGUGGAGCUUUACUGCAGCCUGACAUUGGAUUUUGGUACGGAAUGUACAGGAUAGGUGGGAGACUAAGAACCCAGGACGCCAGUCUUGGAGGAGUCGACGUUGGGAUACCACUCUUUUCGUACUGGAAUUCUAACCACGGACCGUAAACCGGUUCUGGGACACUGUCAGGCGGGCAGUUUGACUGGGGCGGUCGCCUCCCAAAGAGUAACGGAGGCGCUCAAAGGUUCCCUCAGCACGGUCGGAAAUCGUGCGAAGAGUGUAAAGGCAGAAGGGAGCUUGAAUGCGAGACCUACAAGUCGAGCAAGGACGAAAGUCGGACUUAGUGAUCCGGUGGUACCGCGUGGAAGGGCCAUCGCUCAACGGAUAAAAGCUACCCCGGGGAUAACAGGCUUAUCUCCCCCAAGAGUCCACAUCGACGGGGAGGUUUGGCACCUCGAUGUCGGCUCAUCACAUCCUGGGGCUGAAGUAGGUCCCAAGGGUUGGGCUGUUCGCCCAUUAAAGUGGUACGCGAGCUGGGUUCAGAACGUCGUGAGACAGUUCGGUCCCUAUCCGUCGCAGGCGUUGGAAAUUUGAGAGGAACUGUCCUUAGUACGAGAGGACCGGGAUGGACAUACCGCUGGUGAACCAGUUGUUCUGCCAAGAGCAUCGCUGGGUAGCUACGUAUGGCAGGGAUAAGUGCUGAAGGCAUCUAAGCACGAAGCCCGCCUCAAGAUGAGAUUUCCCACUCCGUAAGGAGGUAAGACCCCAGAAAGACGAUCUGGUAGAUAGGCCGGAGGUGGAAGUGCAGUAAUGUAUGGAGCUGACCGGUACUAAUGGUACGAGGACUUGACCUA